rnacentral:rRNA from 1 species
ACUAUGCUUGGCCCUAAACCUCAGUAGUUAAACAACAAAACUACUCGCCAGAAUACUACGAGCAACAGCUUAAAACUCAAAGGACUUGACGGUGCUUUACAUCCCCCUAGAGGAGCCUGUUCCAUAAUCGAUAAACCCCGAUCCACCUCACCCUCUCUUGCUUAGCCUAUAUACCGCCAUCUUCAGCAAACCCUGAUAAAGGUUACAAAGUGAGCACAAACGCCCUGCCGCCGCAAAAACGUUAGGUCAAGGUGUAGCCAAUGAAAGGGUAAAAAUGGGCUACAUUUUCUACAUCAGAAAACUCCACGAAAACUCUUAUGAAACCUGAGAGUCCAAGGAGGAUUUAGCAGUAAAUUAAGAAUAGAGUGCUUAAUUGAACCAGGCCAUAAAGCGCGUACACACCGCCCGUCACUCCCCUCAAAUAUAUUUAAGGAACAUCUUAACUAAACGCCCUAAUAUUUAUAUAGAGGGGAUAAGUCGUAACAUGGUAAGUGUACUGGAAGGUGCACUUGGACAAAC